rfam:Gossypium hirsutum cultivar TM-1 unplaced genomic scaffold scaffold2908.1, whole genome shotgun sequence
UGUUAAAAAUUUCAUCCAUUUUUACCGUUAAAAACUUAGGUGCGGAUAGUGUACCUCAUGUAGAUAUAUAGGAAUCAGUUUUUUACGGUAGAAAUGGAUAAAUUUUUUUAAUA